rfam:Homo sapiens chromosome 20, GRCh38 reference primary assembly.
GCCAGGCAUGGUGGCGCAUGCCUGUAAUCCCAGCUACCUGGGAGGCUGAAACAGGAGAAUCACUUGAACCCAGGAGGCAGAGAUUGCAGUGAGCCAAGAUCAUGCCACUGCAUUCCAGCCUGGGUGACAGAGCGAGACCCUGUCUCAA